rnacentral:ncRNA from 1 species
UCAUAGGCUAUGAUAAGAAAGAGUAAAAAUCAUUGUAAUCUAACAGAAAGUUGCCGGUAGAUGAGAGGCGCAAGAGAGCAGAUUUUGAAUACAUCUUUGAGCUUCACACCGAACGACUAUAAUAGUUUAAGUAGGCUGUUGACGGUAUCCUGCACCCGUUAUCGUGCUAGAGUAUAACCAUCGGUAAGGAUGAGUACUCGAAGAGAUUAGCUGUGCGAACAGUUAAUAAAAUUGAGGUGGUAACGCGUGAUAAUAUCCCGCCCUCUGA